rnacentral:lncRNA from 1 species
CCAUUCCCCAAAAUACAAUCAUUUCUCAAAUUACACCGUUAUCACUUACUUUUAUAAUUGCGACUUAAUUAUAACAACGGAUUUACAUAUUCAGAAGAUAAUGGCAUAUUUUAUGUAAUUUAAUGAUAUGAUCAGAUGACUAUAACAUAUUUAAAACUAAUCAAUUCCACCCACGAACUACGGCCAAUUGAUUGCUUAUAAAAAGGAAGACUCGGGACAGAUAUCAGUAUAAACUUUUCAGCUAUAGUACAAUGCAGAUAUAUUUGUUUUCAAGUUUGUGUGUGGUUGUGUGUGUGAGUCUGUUGACCGUACAUGCAAUACCAAGUUUUGAGGAUUUUUUAUCCAACGAUCAACCAUGGUCGGCAAGUAUAUUUACUUAAGCAUUUUACAUAAAAAAAAAAAUUAAAUGUUUUAUAUAUAUAGUGAAUGAAAAUCGAAUCAGUAUUCGAUUAUUUCUUUCAAAUGAAUAUUUCAUCACAGUGUUUUUAUUACUAUUAUUUUGAGAGAGCAAUUGGCGAGAUCGAAAUUUAAUCCAAUCGUUCUUAAAAAAAUGAGUAAAAAGUAUUCACGUUUAGGAUUGAAGACAGGUAGUUGAGGAAUUAACCACCCUUUUUCUAAAUAUUUUUUGUGAUUUAUUUAUUAUUUAGUAAAUUAUGUUCUUUAAUAUCUAAACAUGUUUUAAUUUAUUUGAUGUGUUCUUGUUCUUAUAUUCCAUAUAACAAUAACAAUAAAAAAAAAACUAGAAGAGCAUCAUUUAUAAACUACUAUUCAGCAAUAACACGUUAAAUCUUCAAGAAAAAAAGGAGAGAUUCCCGAAGCGCCUUGUGGCAUUCAUUGCUAGUCUAAAACCCUAUCGUUAUCACUGUACAAGUUACAGCAACAUGGUUUCUAUGUCAUUGUUUUAUUGGAACGAAUGAAAAGCCCUAUGAAUUAACCCUUGCAAUUUAGCUAUGCUACCAUUUGAUUCAAUAUAACAAUUUUUGAUCGUAACUAAACAAUUGAAUACAUUUACCAGAUGAGCUGACCAAUAAGCAAUCACGUUUUUUUAUACCCCGCCCCAAAGGGUCCUCCUGCCCCUUUGUCCGAAAAAUCAUGUCAGUUCCUUCAAUUUUAUACUAUACAUAUGUAUAUGUAGUCCUUUUAAUAUGUCAUUCCCAUAGUCAAAAUUUGUCAAUAACAUAAAGCGUUGUAUACAUAAGUAAACAAAAGCUUUCUAAUUUUUACGAGCACAUUUAUUUAGGUGCGAUCCGGAUAAACCAAAGUCGUAUUCAGACGGGGAUGCACCCGGCGCCUCCACCCC